rnacentral:rRNA from 1 species
AUGGAGGCUGUGAAGGGAACCAUGGGGAGCGACGAGUUGCCGGAGAGGAUUUCCACUUCAGCAGAUACAAAAUUAGAGAUUGAGCAAGCCAAGGAGAUGGGAGAGGAAGGCGAGGAGAGGGACGAGGUGGCAAAAUUGGAGAUUGAGCAAGCUGAGGGGAUGGAGGAGAAGAUGCAGACUGGGCCGUUCUUUGAUAUGUACUGUGAAGCGUGUUGGUCCUGGUUCUUCAGCAGUCCCUGCAAAGAUACUACGUCAUUCAGUCCUAUGCACUUCACACACAUUACACCGGGAAGCCCCUCUGAUGCUGCUGUCGUCGCCAGCACCCUGCAGAUUUUCUCUGUCAAAGUCGCAGAAAUAAAAGAAGCUCUCUUGAGUUUAAUUGGCCACUGCAUGUGUACGGCAUGGUUGCGCCCGAGAUACCGUCGAUCACAAUCGCAACAUUCUCUUCCUCCGUGA